UACAGAGACCUCGAGCGUUAUCCGGAAUCAUUGGGCGUAAAGCGUACCGAUAGGUGGUUAAGAAAGUCAGAUGUGAAAUCUCCGAGCUCAACUCGGAAUCUGUCAUUUGAAACUUCUUGACUAGAGGAGCAAAGAGGAAGCUGGAACGAACGGUGUAGUAGUGAAAUGCGUUGAUAUCGUUCGGAACACCAAUAGCGUAGGCAGGCUUCUGGGUGCUACCUGACACUGCUAGGACGAAAGCGUGGGGAGCGAAGGGG
rnacentral:rRNA from 1 species